CACGUAGGGGGCGAGCGUUGUCCGGAAUCAUUGGGCGUAAAGAGCUCGUAGGCGGCUCAGUAAGUCGGGUGUGAAACCCUCAGGCUCAACCUGGGGACGCCACCCGAUACUGCUGUGGCUAGAGUCCAGUAGGGGAGUGUGGAAUUCCCGGUGUAGCGGUGAAAUGCGCAGAUAUCGGGAAGAACACCUGUGGCGAAGGCGGCUCACUGGCCCGGUACUGACGCUGAGGCGCGAAAGCUAGGGGAGCAAACGGGG
rnacentral:rRNA from 1 species